rnacentral:lncRNA from 1 species
GGUAGUAUGUAAUGACCCGCAUUUUUAUUUAAUAUGGUAUCGCGAUAAUUAAUAUCACAUCUUUUAGUAAAUGAAACCCAGUUGCCAGUUAUAUAUGAAUCCAGUUUAUGGUCCUGAUUUUUUUUUUUUUUUGAUCUAGUACAAAGGCGAGGUUUAUUUUACUUUUAGAAUAUUUCGAGGAGGAAGGAAGAAUCACAGCUCUAUUCGACCACGUUAUACGAG